UGCUCACUUUAGCAACACAUACUAAAAUUGGAACCAUACUGAGAAGAAUAGCAUGACCUCCAUGCAAACAGGACAUGCAAAUUUGUGAUGUGUU
rnacentral:snRNA from 1 species